AACGAACGCUGGCGGCGUGGAUAAGACAUGCAAGUCGAACGAGAGAAUUGCUAGCUUGCUAAUAAUUCUCUAGUGGCGCACGGGUGAGUAACACGUGAGUAACCUGCCCCCGAGAGCGGGAUAGCCCUGGGAAACUGGGAUUAAUACCGCAUAGUAUCGAAAGAUUAAAGCAGCAAUGCGCUUGGGGAUGGGCUCGCGGCCUAUUAGUUAGUUGGUGAGGUAACGGCUCACCAAGGCGAUGACGGGUAGCCGGUCUGAGAGGAUGUCCGGCCACACUGGAACUGAGACACGGUCCAGACACCUACGGGUGGCAGCAGUCGAGAAUCAUUCACAAUGGGGGAAACCCUGAUGGUGCGACGCCGCGUGGGGGAAUGAAGGUCUUCGGAUUGUAAACCCCUGUCAUGUGGGAGCAAAUUAAAAAGAUAGUACCACAAGAGGAAGAGACGGCUAACUCUGUGCCAGCAGCCGCGGUAAUACAGAGGUCUCAAGCGUUGUUCGGAAUCACUGGGCGUAAAGCGUGCGUAGGCUGUUUCGUAAGUCGUGUGUGAAAGGCGCGGGCUCAACCCGCGGACGGCACAUGAUACUGCGAGACUAGAGUAAUGGAGGGGGAACCGGAAUUCUCGGUGUAGCAGUGAAAUGCGUAGAUAUCGAGAGGAACACUCGUGGCGCAGGCGGGUUCCUGGACAUUAACUGACGCUGAGGCACGAAGGCCAGGGGAGCGAAAAAGAUUCGAUUCCCCUGUAGUCCUGGCAGUAAACGGUGCACGCUUGGUGUGCGGGGAAUCGACCCCCUGCGUGCCGGAGCUAACGCGUUAAGCGUGCCGCCUGGGGAGUACGGUCGCAAGAUUAAAACUCAAAGAAAUUGACGGGGACCCGCACAAGCGGUGGAGUAUGUGGCUUAAUUCGAUGCAACGCGAAGAACCUUACCUGGGCUUGACAUGUAAUGAACAACAUGUGAAAGCAUGCGACUCUUCGGAGGCGUUACACAGGUGCUGCAUGGCCGUCGUCAGCUCGUGUCGUGGGAUGUUUGGUUAAGUCCAGCAACGAGCGCAACCCCUGUUGCCAGUUACCAGCACGUGAAGGUGGGGACUCUGGCGAGACUGCCCAGAUCAACUGGGAGGAAGGUGGGGAGGACGUCAGGUCAGUAUGGCCCUUAUGCCCAGGGCUGCACACGUACUACAAUGCCCAGUACAGAGGGGGCGGAAGCCGCGAGGCGGAGGAAAUCCUGAAAACUGGGCCCAGUUCGGACUGUAGGCUGCAACCCGCCUACACGAAGCCGGAAUCGCUAGUAAUGGCGCAUCAGCUACGGCGCCGUGAAUAAGUUCCCGGGUCUUGCACA
rnacentral:rRNA from 1 species